rnacentral:ncRNA from 1 species
AUUAUUUAGGGAUUUUCUGAAGGGAAAUUUUAAAUUAAAUGAUGCAGUAGGUAAAUUUAUAAUAUUAAGUUAAUUUAGAUUUAGUAAAUAUUAAAAGAUUUGGUAAAAGCUGUGCCAGCAUCCGCGGUUAAACAGCAAAAUCAAACGAAUAUUUUUAGUUUUUGAGUAAUUAUCAUUAUUUUAAUAUAAGAAUUAAAAUGUUUUAGGGUGAAAUAUUUAAAAUAUUUUGAGGUAUAUAUAUUAUAUGUGUGAUUGUUGUGAAAAUAAAAUUGUAAACUAGGAUUAGAUACCCUAUUAUUUUUAUUGUAAAAUUAUUAGCUGAGGUAUUAAUAGUUAUGAUCUUUAAACUUAAAGAAUUUGGCGGUAUUAUAGUCUAUUUAGAGGAAUCUGUUAUGUAAUCGAUAAUCCACGUUGAACCUUACUUAUUUAAAUUCUUGUAUACCACUGUUUAAGAAUAUAUUUUUAGAUUAUUUUCUUAAUAUAAAAUUAAUUAAUAUUUCAAGUCAAGGUGCAGUAAUAUAUAAGUUGAAUAAUGGAUUACAAUAAAUUUUAUUUAUAUGGAUUUUUAAAUUAAAAUGUGAUUUGAAGGUGGAUUUAAUUGUAAUUUUAUGAAGAUUAUUAAAGUGAUUUAAGGCUCUAUAAUAUGUACACAUCGCCCGUCACUCUCAUUUUUAAGUGAGAUAAGUCGUAACAAAGUAGGUGUAUCGGAAGGUGUGUCUAGGAAGAUUAAAUAUGAAUUAGUUAUUAAAUUAA